UACGUAGGGUGCAAGCGUUGUCCGGAAUUAUUGGGCGUAAAGAGCUCGUAGGCGGUUUGUCGCGUCUGCUGUGAAAACCCGAGGCUCAACCUCGGGCCUGCAGUGGGGUACGGGCAGACUAGAGUGCGGUAGGGGGAGAUUGGAAUUCCUGGUGUAGCGGUGGAAUGCGCAGAUAUCAGGAGGAACACCAAUGGCGAAGGCAGAUCUCUGGGCCGUAACUGACGCUGAGGAGCGAAAGCAUGGGGAGCGAACAGG
rnacentral:rRNA from 1 species